UGGGGAAUAUUGCACAAUGGGCGAAAGCCUGAUGCAGCGACGCCGCGUGAGUGAAGAAGUAUUUCGGUAUGUAAAGCUCUAUCAGCAGGGAAGAAAAUGACGGUACCUGACUAAGAAGCCCCGGCUAACUACGUGCCAGCAGCCGCGGUAAUACGUAGGGGGCAAGCGUUAUCCGGAUUUACUGGGUGUAAAGGGAGCGUAGACGGCGAAGCAAGUCUGAAGUGAAAACCCAGGGCUCAACCCUGGGACUGCUUUGGAAACUGUUUUGCUAGAGUGUCGGAGAGGUAAGUGGAAUUCCUAGUGUAGCGGUGAAAUGCGUAGAUAUUAGGAGGAACACCAGUGGCGAAGGCGGCUUACUGAACGAUAAAUGACGUUGAGGCUCGAAAGCGUGGGGAGCAAACAGG
rnacentral:rRNA from 1 species